GUAGUUGUCAUAUUCAUAUCACGUUCGCAUUAUGUAGCACGGUUUCCUCGAGAUUCUCAGCUCACGCAAUCUACGACGCAUUGUUUUAUUGAUUAGAGAUUCGCAAACAGUUUAAAUUAACAUUGUCUCGAUAUGUUCCGCUUACCUUUUGGUGAAAGGGUCGACCCCAUGGAGGAGAAACGACAGGCUAGAGAAAACACCAUCAAUAGUGUUAUUACGUUCUGUGUACUCUGCGCUGUCAUAAGAGUCGCCCCACUGAUCCUGGAGCACACCGGCAUAUAAACAACCUGAGCAGCCAUCAUUCUAUGACUCCGCCGUUCUGUUUUACCACCAUGCUGCCAUGGUAGCCACUGUAGCCAAUAGGAUGUCCCUUAUUUUGCGAUUUUUAAAAUUAACAACGCAUACCCCCUAAAUAUAACGAUACUACUCCAAAACACAUUGAAAUUUUUUUUCAGGAUAUUCCAGUAACAAGAACCCGUGCCGACUUACAACUGAAAUGCUCAUACAAAUUACUAUGGCAAUAUUAUACAAAAUCGAUGUAAGAAAAAAAAAAUUGACAUUCUCAUUGUAUGGGAAAAUCUCAUGAAAGUCAGCAUGGGUUACAGUUACAGGAAUGACCUGAAUUUUUUUUACAGAGAGUUUUGGGAUAAAAGAAACUGAUUUAGGGGGUAUGCGUAAAUCGUAAAAUAAGGGACAGCCUAUAUAGUAGCCAGCGAUCAUUCAUCCAAAUGUUCUGUUUCUGUCCAAAUAUUAUGAAAUAAAAUUAUUGUAGUUGUUAUUUUAA